UUUUGCAUGGACUAUUAGACUUCAUUUAUUUAUUGCUCACAAUCAUUUUUUACAUGAAGAAAUUACGGCUUCUUCUCUAAAAAUGGCUGUAAAGAGAGAAUUUUUAGUGAGAAAAAAAAUGAAUAAUAAUAGCAUAAAGGUUACAAAUGAUCAUACCUAACUCGAUACUAUUUUGAAAUAGUUUGUUGUGUUGUUCUCUAUAUUAUUGGGAUUACGAUAGAGAUGAUCAUCCCGAUAGAAAUAGAAAGAUAUAUUUGUACAUUUAUUGGCGUGAAUGAAUAGAUUUCAAAUAUAUAUAGGGGAUCAUUAUAGGUAGAAGAGAGGUGUGUUAGGAGAUGGAAGCGAAUCGAACAUAUUGCUUUUGAAGUACUACUUUAUGGAGCAAAGAUCGUGAGUUGUGAUGGACAAAGACUUAAGAAGACGAAGGGAUCUCCCGUUGCCGAAAGUGGUUUUAUUUUUUUGAGCCUACAUCCCACUCCAACAUCAGUCAUGGAGGGCUUUCAUCCAAGGUUCAUGAUCAAGAAUAUUCACAAAAUUCAUAGUCAUAAAGUAUGUUUAUUGGUCCUCCUUACAACUUUCUCUCACACUUCGAUACAUUGAUUCACUCUCUUUCUCGCAAUGAUCGAAAAUUUUAGGAGUAUAAUAGAUUUCAAACUGACUUCAUGUUUUACAUUUUCAUGUUUUAAUGUGAGGUUAAUGGAGGUCCCGUUGUGAAGAUGAGUUUCACUUCUAGCUUUUUAACCCAAUGGGUGAGCGUUCAAUGCAUGUGUCGCUAGCUAGAGCAAGAGCCAGAGAGAGGAGAUCAAGAGUGGAGGUUGAGAAGAGUGAAGAGAGCAAGGGAGAGGAUCGGAUAUUCCAACCGAGACCCAUGUUGGAAUGCUCGAAGUUUUUUGUAUUGGUAAUUUCAUCCAAAUAUGACGUGAAAGAAAGAAAAAAAUGACAGAAAACAAUUCAUAUAUGAUUCCAAUCCAAAAUUUUGGACUAUGUUUAGGACUAUUCAUAUUGACAACUCCAUAUCUUCUUUUAUUCUUUGGAAAGAGAGUGUUACUCUACAUCACAAUCAAGUUGCAAUGAUAUCAAUGCUUUUUAUAA